CCAGCCCGCUCAGAAACGUUAAAGGAAUUGACGGGGGCCCGCACAAGCGGUGGAGUAUGUGGUUUAAUUCGAUGCAACGCGAAGAACCUUACCUGGUCUUGACAUCCCGGAGACCCUUAGGAAACUAGGGGGGUGCUUCCAUCUGGAAGAAUCUGGAGACAGGUGCUGCAUGGCUGUCGUCAGCUCGUGUCGUGAGAUGUUGGGUUAAGUCCCGCAACGAGCGCAACCCUUGCCUUUAGUUGCCAGCAGUUCGGCUGGGCACUCUAAAGGGACUGCCGGUGUUAAACCGGAGGAAGGUGGGGAUGACGUCAAGUCCUCAUGGCCUUUAUGACCAGGGCUACACACGUACUACAAUGGCCGAUACAAAGGGCAGCGACACUGCGAGGUGAAGCCAAUCCCGUAAAAUCGGUCUCAGUCCGGAUUGGAGUCUGCAACUCGACUCCAUGAAGUUGGAAUCGCUAGUAAUCGUGGAUCAGCAUGCCACGGUGAAUACGUUCCCGGGCCUU
rnacentral:rRNA from 1 species